AGUGAACGCUGGCGGUAGGCCUAACACAUGCAAGUCGAACGGCAGCACAGGAGAGCUUGCUCUCUGGGUGGCGAGUGGCGGACGGGUGAGGAAUACAUCGGAAUCUGCCCAGUCGUGGGGGAUAACGUAGGGAAACUUACGCUAAUACCGCAUACGACCUUCGGGUGAAAGAGGGGGAUCGCAAGACCUCUCGCGAUUGGAUGAGCCGAUGUCGGAUUAGCUAGUUGGCGGGGUAAUGGCCCGCCAAGGCGACGAUCCGUAGCUGGUCUGAGAGGAUGAUCAGCCACACUGGAACUGAGACACGGUCCAGACUCCUACGGGAGGCAGCAGUGGGGAAUAUUGGACAAUGGGCGCAAGCCUGAUCCAGCCAUACCGCGUGGGUGAAGAAGGCCUUCGGGUUGUAAAGCCCUUUUGUUGGGAAAGAAAUCGUUCAGGCUAAUACCCUGGGAGGAUGACGGUACCCAAAGAAUAAGCACCGGCUAACUUCGUG
rnacentral:rRNA from 1 species